rnacentral:tRNA from 2 species
GCCCCGUUCGUCUAGCGGCCUAGGACGUAGCCCUCUCAAGGCUAAAACACGGGUUCGAGUCCCGUACGGGGCA